rnacentral:misc_RNA from 1 species
AAUUUCAUAUAUGAAAAAUAUAGAGAUUUUUCUCAAAUACAUUGUUUCAUAAUGAUAUCAGAGCAUUCGAUUCAUUAGGACAGUUUUUAGUAUUAUUGAUCACUACUGUUUAUGUGUGCUGUUCACGUGCACUGCUCAUCAGUACCGUUCACGUGCACUACUCAUGGGUACUGUUCAGGGUACUUUUCAUCGGCAUUGUUCACAGCACAUGGACCUCCGAUUUUUUCAACUAUUCCUCAUGUGUUAUGCUUCUACUCAGCUCUUGUCCUUGAUCUGACUACAAACGAAUAUGUUUGAAACAGUGGAUU